GCCUCUUUGGCUCAGUCGGUUAGAGCGCAAGUCUCAUACAUGAACAUGUAACGUGAUCUUGAGGUCGAAAGUUCGAAUCUUUCAAGUGGCA